UUUAAAUUGCUGUGGUAUUUUGACUAUACAAAGGUAUUGAAAUAAGACUUUAAUUGAGUGCUAAGAGAAUGGACUUUCAAAAAAAUGCUUUCUUAAUUUUAAAAAUUGAAAUUAUUUUUUUUUGUGAAGAAACAACAAUAAAAAUUAAAGACAAGAAGACCCUAAGAAUUUUUAUAAAUUUAUUAUAUUAAUAUACAAUACAUUUAUUUAAUUGGGGCGAUUUGAAAAUAUUUAAAACUUUUUAAAAACUAAUAAGAUCCAUUAAUAAUGAUUUUAUGAAAAAAAUACUCUAGGGAUAACAGCGUAAUAAUUUUAGAUAGAUCUUAUAGAAAAAAUAGUUUGCGACCUCGAUGUUGGAUUAGGAUUCUUAUUUAAUGAAGAAGUUAAAAAAAGAAGUUUGUUCAACUUUUAAAUUCCUACUUGAUUGA
rnacentral:rRNA from 1 species